rnacentral:rRNA from 1 species
GAACGCUGGCGGCGUGCUUAACACAUGCAAGUCGAGCGGAAAGGCCCUUCGGGGUACUCGAGCGGCGAACGGGUGAGUAACACGUGAGUAACCUGCCCUAGGCUUUGGGAUAACCCUCGGAAACGGGGGCUAAUACCGGAUAUGACCUUUCCUCGCAUGAGGGUUGGUGGAAAGUUUUUCGGCCUGGGAUGGGCUCGCGGCCUAUCAGCUUGUUGGUGGGGUGAUGGCCUACCAAGGCGACGACGGGUAGCCGGCCUGAGAGGGCGACCGGCCACACUGGGACUGAGACACGGCCCAGACUCCUACGGGAGGCAGCAGUGGGGAAUAUUGCACAAUGGGCGGAAGCCUGAUGCAGCGACGCCGCGUGAGGGAUGACGGCCUUCGGGUUGUAAACCUCUUUCAGCAGGGACGAAGCGCAAGUGACGGUACCUGCAGAAGAAGCGCCGGCCAACUACGUGCCAGCAGCCGCGGUAAGACGUAGGGCGCGAGCGUUGUCCGGAUUUAUUGGGCGUAAAGAGCUCGUAGGCGGC